GGUCAUCGAUGGGCAGGAAAGAUGUUUUCUUCAGUGACCCUGAAAUGCUGGUGGCAUGGACUGGAUGGUUGUGACCUAGCUCCUUCCUCACCUGCCAACCCUCUCUCAAGAUAGAUCCUGGGAGGCAGGAGUCGGACUCCAGCAGAGGGGAGGUGCAACGAUGUCCAGGUGGGUCUGUGCGGGCAUGCCUGGAGGAGGCUUCUCUAGGACAGGACAUGGCUCACCUGGGCAGUCCAGGCUGCUGCAAGAACAAACACCCAGUGAUGGGGCAGAGGGAGGAAAGAAAGGAUCCUGCCCCUGAUCCAGCAGCUGAAAGUGAGAAGCUGAUAAUAGCAAGGAGGCCUGAAAUGCACCCCAUGGUAAUCAAGCCAUCUGUCACAAGCCCGCUGCGAAAGGAGGCCACAUCCGGCCUGCCAGGCCUCACUGUGCGAAGGUGGGGUGCAGCGGUCAGUGUCAGCAGCACGACGCCAGCCACCCUCUGGAGCUGGAGGCUGGGGGUGGGGGGAGCUCUCAUCUCAAGGCCAUGGGGCUGAGGCCAAUUCUCACCUGCCAGAGGUAGGGAAGGAGCGAACAGUCAAGGCCAUCUGUUCCUGGCCCCAGGUCUGCACCAGGCUCGACUUUCACUGUGAGGAAGCCUUUGGAAACUGCAUCCUGGACCUUUUAUUAGCUCGGAUGGUGGUUUUUAAGAGCUUUAUGGAUGCCUGAACACUAAUAGUGAGCCCUUACCCUGCCCUCACUAAGUACCAGGCACUGUUCUGAGAGCUUUUGUCUAAAUCACCUCACUGAGCGCUCAUAAGAACUCUACAAGAUAGGAGUUAUCCCCAUUUUAUAGAGUGGGAGGGGAGGCCUGGAAAGGGGGCAGAGCUAGGAAUCGACGCCAUAACUCUGCUCCUGAGCCCCGCCCUUCGCUGCUGGGCCACACCGCCCUAUUGUCCCAGAGCACAGGCUGGAGUGCAGAUUCAGUCUUAAUUGUCCACUGGGAAACCAAACGUCCUAGAGAUGUGGCCUGUGGGUGAUUAGUCAGGACAGGUGAUAGCAUGCCAUCAGAAUUGACCAGCCCCUAACUUAGAGCAGACAGGGGGCUCGUCCAACCCCACCCCCUCCUAAGGUUAGUGCACCCAGAUCUGGAGAGCUUUCCUGGGGUCACGCAGCGAGAAAAUGAUGACACAAGAAUCCAAAGUCUUCUGACAGUCCCUUCAAUUGCUGUGCAUUGUCUUUCUUUCUCUAAGAAAGUAAGACUAUGCCCCUGCCCUAGCACCCCAGUCCCAUCCACCUAAGCCCCCACAGUGGACAGCAGGAGUGUUGUUGGUGUCAGGUGGCAGUUAUCUGCUGGAGGUUUCCUGAGGGUCAGGGAGCCAUGUUGACCUGAUCACUAGUUCCUGCCCGCCUAGGGAGCCCCCUCCAUCUGGUAGAGAGGAUUGAGAACUGGAGAUGCUUCAUCCCAUGCCUCCUGGCUCUCCUCCCUCUUGGCUGAAGGCUGGUUGGUGUCUCUGGAGGCUGUUUGACCUGUGGGCCUUGCGCAGAGCUCAGUUUGGGUUGCAUUGGGAUCGAGCCCCCAGCCAGGUCCCAGAGAAGAGUCUCAGGCCUGGAACCGAGAUUGCGGGUUGGACAGGGCUUCACCAGGUAAUCAUUGCUGGUAAUGGCAAAGGCUUUGAAUGAAGUGUCCAAACUGGUUUAACACCCUUUUGGUAUUUCUCUUAUUUUGUAGAUUUAUAUCAUUCACCUACUAAGGACCUCCCUUACCUAAUCUCUAUUCCCUGAGGAAUGAAAGAGUAGAUAAAGUUUUUUGUUUGUUUUGUUUGUUUGAGGGCUGUACUCCUGUCUCCUGGGAUGGCCUCAGCUGGUCCAGCUGAGGGGGGUCUAGCUGAGGGGGAGUCCAGCCCCAGGAGGGCCAGCUCUAGGGCUGCUUGGAUCAAGGCCCAAAGUACCUUCAAUGUUCCUCCUAAAUCUGUGGUUCAAGAAUAUUAUUUAGCACCUACUGGCAUUCCACCAACAGAAGAUAUAAGAGAAGAAAUGUCCUUCGAUUCCUAAUCAAACAACAUCGAUGAAGCAAUUAGUAUAUAGAAGGUGCUAGGCAAGAAGCAUUCUAGUUUCCUGUCGUGGAGGAGUUUACAGUCUGAAAGAAAGAAGUGUAGAGUCUGUCUGCGGGUGGCACCAACAUAGAGGAAGCAAGACCAAGAGGUGAACAUCAGGUGCUUGUGACUUCUUGCAAGACCCUGGUUCAAGCCAUGCCUGAAGACGGACCUACCCUCUGGACUUUUCAACUGUAUGCUCCUGAAGCCUCCUGCAGACAGAAUGAAGCUGAACUUGGAUGCAUCCUCUGGGUGAGGCAGCAUAAAAUCAGUCCGGAUGAAAUCCCUCCUUGUUGAUGAAGAUAUCUGCCGCAUCCGUGCAGGCAUCAGGAAGACGUGGUCUGCCCUCUCAAGGAUGAAGGGGUCUACUAGAGAUACAAACAAAUGUUAUGUGACUGCAGAGGUGGGAACAGUGAACUGUGCCCGGAGGAAUAAGAGAAAGCUUCAUGGAGGAGACCGGCCUUAAAAGACUCUGUGAGCCACGAAGAGCCAUAAAGGAGCAGGCUGAGGACGGAAGACAGCGAAGCUUUCUUAUGCCGCGUGAUCCAGGCCAAUGGCUCAAACGUUUUACAUCAUUACUCCUAUGUGCCUGCCUCUGGGACACAUUCUGUUGAUUUACUAGCUUCCUGGAAGAAAAGAUACCAUUUACCUGAAGGUAACCUCGCUGAAAAAGAGCUUCGAGUCUACAAAACUCUGUGGUUCUUGACCUCUUGCUGCGGCAGCAAAACAAAACAAAAACAAAGAAGCAAAACCAGUUUCCUGGAAACCUCAUGGGUCUUUUGACUUGUUCUUGAUGUUCAGCAGGGUUGUCAAAGCUAAGGAGAUACUGAACAAACUCUACCCAGUUCGGUUUGGGCAGGUAAAACUCGUCAGUGCUGUGGCCAGACCUUCGCCCUCCACACAGAUGCAGGAUCCUAGCGUUGGUUCCAGUCACCUUGGGUACUGGAAGACCCAAGGUUCCAGUCGCCUUGGGUACUGGGUGCUGCCUCUUCUGUGAGAGGCAGCAUCCUAGCCUUGACCAGAGUGAAGAAAGGUCCAAGAACUGAGGACCCCGUCCAGGGUCAGAAAGUCACAAACUGGGGAUGAGCCCAGAGGAAGGGGUGCAACAUACUUCCGUACUGUCCACCAGGACCCCACUUCCUGACAGGGGGAAGUGAUUCUGUGGGGUCUGUUCUUCCUGCAUCCUCUUUAAACAUCUCCAAGCACCCCCACCAAAGCCCUGAGGAGAACUCUGAAGCCACCCUUUCUCUCCUGUUAGCUGUAAAUGGCUGCUAACAGGCCAGAGUGGGAUAAAGAAAGUCAGAGCCCAAGAGAGGCCUCCACAGUGUCAGCACCCCGGGUUCUGUCCAGCCUAGAAUCUGAUGGCUGAGACCCCAGGCACAAUGUGGGGCAGGGACCAUGAGGGGCCUCCUCCACACCCUCCAAAGGCAGAGCAGGGCCAGAAUAUCCAGGGAAUGGCUUUCGUGAUGUGUCCCAAUUCUUCUCCUGUGAGCUCACUGUAUUUCCCACCGGGGCCACAUCCGGGAAGAGUGAAGUUCGUAAGUUGACUUCCCACUGCCUAAAGUGGACACAUCUUUUUCUCCCAAAAGACCCACUGUACCAACUUGAAUUUGAUAACCUAACAAAGAGAAGAAGCAAAUGAUUAUGAUUGGGAUCUGUGAUGUACUAAAGCCUUUGCUAAGUGUGCACUUUUGCUAAAUUGUUUCACAGCAUACCUAUUAUGUAAGAAGGAUUACCCCCAUCUUACAGGUGAGGAGCUAGGUUUGCAUCCUAUCUGGAUUAAAGCUUAGCCUGUUCUCCAUUUUCUCUUGCUGCCAAGUCCGUAAUGCCAUUAUAUGCUGCCUUAUAGCGA